rnacentral:rRNA from 1 species
GACGAACGCUGGCGGCGUGCUUAACACAUGCAAGUCGAACGGAAAGGCCCUGCUUUUGUUGGGUGCUCGAGUGGCGAACGGGUGAGUAACACGUGAGUAACCUGUCCUUGACUUUGGGAUAACUUCAGGAAACUGGGGCUAAUACCGGAUAGGAGCUCCUGCUGCAUGGUGGGGGUUGGAAAGUUUCGGCGGUUGGGGAUGGACUCGCGGCUUAUCAGCUUGUUGGUGGGGUAGUGGCUUACCAAGGCUUUGACGGGUAGCCGGCCUGAGAGGGUGACCGGCCACAUUGGGACUGAGAUACGGCCCAGACUCCUACGGGAGGCAGCAGUGGGGAAUAUUGCACAAUGGGCGGAAGCCUGAUGCAGCAACGCCGCGUGCGGGAUGACGGCCUUCGGGUUGUAAACCGCUUUCGGCAGUGACGAAGCGUGAGUGACGGUAAUGGGUAAAGAAGCACCGGCUAACUACGUG